GUUGAAACAUCAAAUUCCGUACGAACACUGAAGUUAAGCAACGUCGAGUCUGGUCAUUACUUAGAUGAGAGACUCCUUGGGAAUAUCACGUGUU